AGCGGAAACCCCGAAAGCAGCGGCAGCGGCGGGAAGGGGCUCCAAGGAGCAAAGAAGUUCCUUACUGUGAGGCUGCCAUGGCAGACGUUUUCUUUGGAAUAUACAAGUGGUGUUCCAGGUAUCCUGUGAGGUCUUCAACAGUCACAUCAUCGACAUAGGUGGGAGCCUCCUCAGAAUAGGAUGUGGGAGAAGUCCACGAGGCUGUUUCACAGAGGGGUCUGUUAAGCGUGGAUAAGGAGAAACAAGCUGAGGUUUGGCUGUUGUGUGAGUCAGAGUGGAAGGAUGAGGGCAGAGCGAGGCAGUUCUCCCGUGACAGAGCGCAGUGUCUCCUGGUGGAGGCAGAAAUCCCCACCGUGCUCAGUGCUGUUCCCUGCCACCACGUCAGCCCACAUCCCCUGCUGGGGACAGCGUGCUGCCAGCAUAUGCCGGGUCACCUGCUGUCCGUGGGGACCGGGUAACGGCACGGAGCAGUGUGAGGACUGCAGCCCCGCUUAGCAGUGUGCCCCGUGGAUGUGGGGCUGCCCCAUGGCUGUGGCCGCUGCAGUGAGGGCUCCUCCGUGGGGCUGCGGUGUGUGCCUGCCUGCCUGCCAUCCCAGGGUGGGCCGGGAGAGGAGAGCAGCUGAGCUGGCAUGGUGCCUGCGCCUGGGGAGCUAUUUGGAGAUGCGUUUGAUGUCUCCGCCGCAAGGGUGAUGGAUGCUGGGGCGAACGUCGUGAUGGCACAGCCAACGCUCUGUGCUGGGCUUUGAAGUCCCCCGAGCGGAGCAUCCCAGCUCGCAGAUUUGGGAAGACAUGGACUACGGGGCAGGAGAUGCUACUUGCCAAGGCGGCUACGUGAGGAGCAGCCUCAGAGCUCAACAUCCCAGCUGCACCCUGCUCCAGGAGGACGCAGGAGUUCCCCGUCAGCUGUGCCUUCCUCCGCAUCUCUGUCACUGUGUCCCCGGUGUGCAGAGCCCGGUGAGAUGCCGCCACGCACCGUGGGCUCCUGAAGCCAUGGAGCAGCACAGACCCAAGGAGGAGGACGAGCAGGCUGAGGUGAUGCUGCCCGUUGCUUGCAGUGGGUGCUGCAGCUUGCCUGGAGGAAGCCCCCACAAUAACUCAGUGCGUAAACGUGGGAGGAUACAGGACAGGAGACCUGGAACGUCCGUGCCGUGAGAGACCGGCCGGUCCUCCUGCAGUCCUCUCACACCUGCAGGGUCAGAACAGGUGAACAGACUGAGACGGCUGUUGGUGUGCAGUCCCUGACAGGAGCAGCGGAAGAGCCUUAAGGAAGCGGGGCUCUCCCAGAAGAGAGAGGCACGCAAACACUGCUGCUGUAAAGCUUCAGGUGAUGGGCUGCGACAAUUGCGUGUGCAGCCCUGAGCUCCUCUGCACUCAGCGGUGAGAAACGGGACCCGCCAGAGAUCUGUCAGAGCGCUCCGUCUCUGCUGAGCGCGGUACCGACAGCCGCGCACCGCUCCGCGCCACUCACCGCGCCGCGUCCACCCGCAGCUCCUGGAGGGCCGUCCGCAGGCUGCGCUCCUCCUCGUCCUCGUCGUCGUCGUCCUCGUCCUCGUCGUCGUCCUGCUGCUGCUGCUGCUGCUCCUCCUCGUCCUCGUGCCGCCUGUUUGCAAGCCAAGGACACGUGAAAGGAACGUCAGCGGGACUGAGGCGGAGCUGCACCCAGCCUGUGGUGGGCGACCCAAUAAAAGCCAAGUGUUUCGUAA